rnacentral:rRNA from 1 species
CACGUAGGGCGCGAGCGUUGUCCGGAAUUAUUGGGCGUAAAGAGCUCGUAGGCGGCCUGUUGCGUCCGCUGUGAAAGCCCGGGGCUUAACCCCGGGUCUGCAGUGGAUACGGGCAGGCUAGAGGUAGGUAGGGGAGAAUGGAAUUCCCGGUGUAGCGGUGAAAUGCGCAGAUAUCGGGAGGAACACCGGUGGCGAAGGCGGUUCUCUGGGCCUUACCUGACGCUGAGGAGCGAAAGCGUGGGGAGCGAACAGGAUAGAAACC